rnacentral:rRNA from 1 species
GAUGAACGCUGGCGGCGUGCUUAACACAUGCAAGUCGAACGGUGAAAGGGAGCUUGCUCCCUGGAUCAGUGGCGAACGGGUGAGUAACACGUGGGCAACCUGCCCCAGACUUCGGGAUAACGCUUCGAAAGAGGUGCUAAUACCGGAUACGAACUCCUUGGGCAUCCUUGGAGUUGGAAAGUUUUUCGGUCUGGGAUGGGCCCGCGGCCUAUCAGCUUGUUGGUGAGGUAACGGCUCACCAAGGCGACGACGGGUGGCCGGCCUGAGAGGGCGACCGGCCACACUGGGACUGAGACACGGCCCAGACUCCUACGGGAGGCAGCAGUGGGGAAUAUUGCGCAAUGGGUGAGAGCCUGACGCAGCAGCGCCGCGUGAGGGAUGACGGCCUUCGGGUUGUAAACCUCUUUCAGCAGGGAAGAAGCGAAAGUGACGGUACCUGCAGAAGAAGCACCGGCUAACUACGUGCCAGCCGCCGCAGUAAAAC